rnacentral:rRNA from 1 species
AUGCACCAUUUUUCAGUCAGUUACAGGCCAGCUGACAGCUUAGCUUGCCCACAGACCCUACCUAACGAACAGCGACACCAACAAUUGCGAGAAGAGAAUGAAUUCGGUGACGACGACCGCAGGGGAGUGGAUGCCCAGGAAGGGCACAAUGUCAACCUGCAGCCAGCUCUCCACGCCGGACCCGACCGUCGCACCGACUGCCAGCCCCCCGACGGUGAUCAAUGCGGCCUUACCUGCAUGAACAAGGACCACAGAGGCAUUCAUUUCGUUCCAAAUCGAAGCAGGAAGGUUGGCACAAGAGCAGCAGUGAUCAAUGUACAUGACAUUGGGCAAGGUUUCCUCCCACAAUUAAGCAGUGCCAUAACAAACACAAAAGCAGGUUGGAGGUUUGUGGACUUGUGUCAGCCAGAUAGAUCCAUACGCAUUUAUUCACUAGCAACUUUAAAGACAGCAUAUCCAAGACCGAAGGUAGUAAAGAGAUAA